UACGUAGGGGCUAGCGUUAUCCGGAAUUACUGGGCGUAAAGCGUGCGCAGGCGGUUUGCUAAGACAGGUGUGAAAUCCCCGGGCUUAACCUGGGAACUGCGCUUGUGACUGGCAGGCUAGAGUACGGUAGAGGGGGUGGAAUUCCUGGUGUAGCAGUGAAAUGCGUAGAUAUCAGGAGGAACACCGAUGGCGAAGGCAGCACCCUGGGCCUGUACUGACGCUCAUGCACGAAAGCGUGGGGAGCAAACAGGAUUAGAUACCCCCGUA
rnacentral:rRNA from 1 species